GUCUGUUGAACGGAUGAUGAGGACGCCCUUUUUGGUUAAGUUUCAUUUCCCUGGAAGAGUCCUCCCACAGCCGGUCUCCAGUACAUAUAAAGUCCACCAACCACGCAGGCUGGAAGUGUACUGGACGUAGGCGACAACAUGGAUUCCAAGAACUCCAAAAAUUGUAAUCUGGGAAAAGCUGGGUUCACCCCAGCCGGGGUACAAAAAGGAUCCCUUGCCGCAGGCAUGAUGUCCUUAGAAGCCAAAACCAACAGAGGAGGGCAGACACCAAAAGGCCCGGUGGCUCACCUUCAGUCUGCAGGCGCGACCGGUCAUUGUGGAAAGACCAAGAAAUGAGCGAAAGAUAAAACCAUGAAAUAAAACUUGGUUCCUUAAA